UCAUCAGCCAUGGCCGCAGAGAGACGGAGACACGACGUUGGAAAACAGAUUUAAACCUGGUUUAAAGCACUGCUUCUGUUUGGCAGUACUGUGAGAGAACGUCCUUACCGGACUGGUCUGGACACUGAAACAAGCUCUGUAGUCGUUUUUUUUUUUUUGUCAAAUACGAGCGAGGCCGGACGCUGAACACACUUGCAACGCAAAGGCUUACUUGUUCAGCUGCUGCAGCCUGGACAGGAACACCAGCUCUCACCUUACAAACCAAACAGGUGUCACCACUUCAUCCAUGAUUGCAGAGACUUUGUCCACGAUUGCAGAGUGUCUUCGUACAAUGAAGUUCUUUGAGACCAGGACUGAGGCCUCCAGGAUUCAAACUUUAACCACAAAGUAACAGAGAGAAAAGACACGAAGACAUUUCCAGAAGGUCUUCAGCUGCUGUCGUCUUCUCCUGCAGAGAUGUGAACAUGUGUUAAUCACAGACACUGGUCAAUAAAUGUAUUUUUCCUUUCCUGAACUGUCCUACUAUACUAUGGCAUUUUCUGACCUAUUUUUUUUG